rnacentral:rRNA from 1 species
CAACUCUCAACAACGGAUAUCUUGGCUCCCGUAACGAUGAAGAACGCAGCGAAAUGCGAUACGUAGUGUGAAUUGCAGAAUUCCGUGAACCAUCGAAUCUUUGAACGCAAAUUGCGCUUGAGCCUCGGCCAAGAGCAUGUCUGGCUCAGCGUC